AUACUUACGGUAGUCCCGCCAACAACAGCAGCAUCUAUACAACGACACCAAGAUGGCGGCUCUCAAUGGGAUGGCUGUUUGGUCCAGUCCUCAGGCAGGAAUUGACUCCCAGGCCACACUUUGGACACCAGUGACUUUGGGAAACUGUAAAGACCAACAGCAACAAGCUUCCAAGUGUGUCCUUCAAAUUGGAGGGGAAGCAAGCUGUCCUCCCUGAAUACUUCUAAUCUAAUAUUUUGUUUAUGCGUGAUGUGUUGAAUGGGCAAACUUAUUUUUCCACUUAUUGCAUUUGUCCAGAAGUCAAUCCUUUGCUUUAUUCUUUUAAGGAUGUUUGUGCCACAUGGAAAUGUGCAGCUUUCCAAAUUGUAUAGUUUCUAGUGUUAUUAAAUUGUGAUUUAUUAAGACUUGCCUGUCUUACUUGUUGAUCGGAGCACAAAUAAAGAAAAGAAGCAUGUGUUCAUUCAUUACACAAGAGGUGAGCUGUCAUUAGUUGACGAUAUCGCCGUCGAUAAUGUAGUGGGCAAUAUUGGUAUA